CAGCAGCCACGGUAAUACGUAGGUCCCGAGCGUUGUCCGGAUUUAUUGGGCGUAAAGCGAGCGCAGGCGGUUUGAUAAGUCUGAAGUUAAAGGCUGUGGCUCAACCAUAGUUCGCUUUGGAAACUGUCAAACUUGAGUGCAGAAGGGGAGAGUGGAAUUCCAUGUGUAGCGGUGAAAUGCGUAGAUAUAUGGAGGAACACCGGUGGCGAAAGCGGCUCUCUGGUCUGUAACUGACGCUGAGGCUCGAAAGCGUGGGGAGCGAACAGGAUUAGAUACCCGUGUAGUCCCUGUCUCUUAUACA
rnacentral:rRNA from 1 species